CCUACGGGAGGCAGCAGUGGGGAAUAUUGCACAAUGGGGGAAACCCUGAUGCAGCGACGCCGCGUGAGUGAAGAAGUAUUUCGGUACGUAAAGCUCUAUCAGCAGGGAAGAAAAUGACGGUACCUGACUAAGAAGCCCCGGCUAACUACGUGCCAGCAGCCGCGGUAAUACGUCGGGGGCAAGCGUUAUCCGGAUGUACUGGGUGUAAAGGGAGCGUGGACGGCAGCGCAAGUCUGGAGUGAAAUCCCAUGGCUUAACCAUGGAACUGCUUUGGAAACUGUGCAGCUAGAGUGCAGGAGAGGUAAGCGGAAUUCCUAGUGUAGCGGUGAAAUGCGUAGAUAUUAGGAGGAACACCAGUGGCGAAGGCGGCUUACUGGACUGUAACUGACGUUGAGGCUCGAAAGCGUGGGGAGCAAACAGGAUUAGAUACCCCAGUAGUC
rnacentral:rRNA from 1 species